GCUCCUGUGGCCUAGUGGUCAGAGCGUCUGCCUCGGAUGCGAGAGGUCGCGGGAUCGAAUCCCGGUCGAGUA